rnacentral:rRNA from 2 species
UAAAACUUUCAGCAACGGAUCUCUUGGUUCUGGCAUCGAUGAAGAACGCAGCGAAAUGCGAUAAGUAAUGUGAAUUGCAGAAUUCAGUGAAUCAUCGAAUCUUUGAACGCACAUUGCGCCCGCCAGUACUCUGGCGGGCAUGCCUGUCCGAGC